CAAAUUUAACUCUAAUCAUAUAUAGUUCUUUAACAUGCAAGUGAGUUUGAACAAAAUGAUUGUUCACUUACGACACAGGCAAAUUAUUUUUAGUAACAUCAUAAGGACAGUCAUGACAAGGAAAAAUUUGUAUAUGUUUAUAAAAUCAUAGAUAGCAUUUUGGAAUUAUCAUGAUGUCCUUUCAGCAUAAAGGCCACCAAAUCAUUUGUAAAUCUGUGUGCUCGCUCACGUAAUUCACAGAUCACGUAAUUCACAGAUAAAACGGGGAAACUAUUUGGUGUUGUGGUAGCCUUGUGUGAUUGCUUGCUGUAAUUCAGCAUCACCUAAUCUGUCUUGAUAUUCUAACACAAAUCACCCUACCAAUAUGUCUGUGAGAUGAAUUGUGAUUGUACAGCAGGGACAAUGUGUCUGGAUAAGAACAUAAGCCCAAGAAGUCAAUCAUUUCCCCGUCUCUUCAGUCGACAGUCUGAUUUUUUUUUUUCGUCUUUUUUUUUUUUUUUUCGCCCUCCCUUCUCUGGGUCUUCACUUGCCUUGAUUUGUGUCAUUUGCUUUUUGUGUGUGAAUAGAUUUGAUGAAAAACUGUUUGAUGUAUAACAUGGGAUGAUGUAGGGUCUGAUGUCUUGUGACAUUCCCAUCAGCGCUUGGGGCGCAGUUUGCGGCUUUCGGGUUUUUAGGGCAAUCACAAUUGCUCCAGUGACAUUUGGGAGCCUGCGACGGUUUGGAAAGCACUCUGAGGAAUUGGUGCACCACUGAAUCGGCUGAUUUCACCUUUGACAUUUUCAUAAACUUAAUUCUGGAAGCAUCUUUGGCGGAAAAUAGAAAGUCUAAUUCUAUUUGCGUUGUACUUGAUUGCAACUAGAUUAUGGGAGUCAAUAGAUGUAUGGAACAUUUGCAUGAAGAGAUAACUAAAUGCGGGACAAUACAUUCUGGUCACUCUCCAAUGCUUUUCUUUGCCAAGUUUUUGCCUCAUUGGGAAGCCGUUAUUGGAUUAGGCCGAUGCAAUAAGAAGGCGUUUAUUAGUUUAUGGCACAUUUCAACUUGAGAUAUGGUGGUCACCAAUUCUAAGAAAGUCUCUGAUAAAACUUGUAAAUAACGGUGUAUUAAUUAUUUUUUAUUAGUGGCAUUCAAUAUUGAUGCUGGUACAUUUUUCACAUAAGAAUGGUAUUCUAGCUCUUUUGCUUCAAUUUUGAGCAAUUUACAAAUUGAUAAAUAUUCUCAUUUUCUAAAUUACUUCAUUAUCUAUAAAUUCUCCAAGUAUGUAGAUCCGCCUUAUUUAUUUCAAUAAUAAUUUAAUUUGAGAACUACAGUAAUACUAAUCAUUAUUUGAGUGAGACUACAAUGUAUAUUAAAAUAAAUUCAAAUUUAAUU
rnacentral:sRNA from 1 species